AGGACGAACGCUGGCGGCGUGCUUAACACAUGCAAGUCGAGCGGACAUCUUCGGAUGUUAGCGGCGAACGGGUGAGUAACACGUGGGCAACCUGCCCCUAGCUCUGGGAUAACUCCGGGAAACCGGGGCUAAUACUGGAUAUGACCGAUCCAUGCAUGUGGGUUGGUGGAAAGUUUUUCGGCUAGGGAUGGGCCCGCGGCCUAUCAGCUUGUUGGUGGGGUGAUGGCCUACCAAGGCGACGACGGGUAGCCGGCCUGAGAGGGCGACCGGGCCACGACCUGGGACUGAGACACGGCCCAGACUCCUACGGGAGGCAGCAGUGGGGAAUAUUGCGCAAUGGGCGAAAGCCUGACGCAGCGACGCCGCGUGGGGGAUGAAGGCCUUCGGGUUGUAAACCUCUUUCAGCAGGGACGAAGCGAAAGUGACGGUACCUGCAGAAGAAGCACCGGCCAACUACGUGCCAGCAGCCGC
rnacentral:rRNA from 1 species